GCAGACAGAUUCCAGCCAAUCAGCAGCAGACCCUCCCUCCCAGACCCUCCCACCUCCUGGACAGCAUCCAUUUUACAUUCAUCGUGAAGCUGCAUUCUUAGUGAGCUGUCCAGGAGGUGGGAGGGUCUGGGAGGGAGGGUCUGCUGCUGAUUGGCUGGAAUGUGUCUG
rnacentral:miRNA from 1 species